rnacentral:rRNA from 1 species
GGCCUAACACAUGCAAGUCGAACGCCCCGCAAGGGGAGUGGCAGAUGGGUGAGUAACGCGUGGGAACCUACCUUACGGUCGGGAAUAGCUCAGGGAAACUUGGGGUAAUACCGGAUACGCCCUUACGGGGAAAGAUUUAUCGCCGUUAGAUGGGCCCGCGUAGGAUUAGCUAGUUGGUGAGGUAAUGGCUCACCAUGGCGACGAUCGGUAGCCGGACUGAGAGGUUGAACGGCCACAUUGGGACUGAGACACGGCCCAGACUCCUACGGGAGGCAGCAGUGGGGGAUAUUGCACAAUGGGCGAAAGCCUGAUGCAGCGACGCCGCGUGAGGGAAGACGGUCUUCGGAUUGUAAACCUC